rnacentral:misc_RNA from 1 species
GAGAUAGGGUCCCUCAGGGCCCGAACCUCCCACCCAUUGUUUACUUACCUUUGUUGCUUUGGCGGGUCGCGGAGCGUCAGCCCCCGUCGACUUUGGUGGACGAGUGCCCGUCAGAAGCCCCUCUAAACUCUUUGAAUAAUUGAAGUCUGAGUCUUAAUAAAUUUAAGCAAAACUUUCAACAACGGAUCUCUUGGUUCU